AUGUUGCGUAAAGGGAAAGGUCGUAGUCAAACCCCACAGCCACGCGAACUCUAAGUCAGCCACGAAUAGGCUAUCCCAACUAACGGCGGGAAAGACUCCACGGAGGGUGUAAGACCCGUGUGGGCGCGUGUCAAAGCUGUGCGGGCUCGGCCUCUUUUCCCUGAGAGUCGCGUUGCUUGAGCAUGCAGCGCUAAGCAGGUCGUAAACUCGAUCUAAGGCUAAAUAUCUCCACAGAACCGAUAGCGAACAAGUACCGUGAGGGAAAGUUGAAAAGCACUCUGGAGAGAGAGUCAAAAGACCGUGAAACCGCUCAGAGUAUAAGCCCAUGGCAGCUUGGAAGGCAUAUCGCGAGCGGGGCAUCGGUCUUCCUUCGCGGGGAGCCGGUGUUACCUUGCCUCUGUUGUGGCUCGUUAUGGUAGGGGGGUCAAGUCCACAUCCCGCCGUCGUGUGGGAAGUUCUCGGGCGUGUCGUUGCUUUGCGGUUGACCUCGGUUGGCCGUAGGGCUCUUCGCGCUUGGUUCUUCUUUGAUUAGACACGGACGUUCAGACUCAGAGGCAAGAGGCGAUAACCAGCCCACCACGGCACGUUGUGAGGUCACCCACAGGCUCAACUUUCGAUUGUGGUCCUUGACGCCGAGCAAGCACAAUGCGUGUCGCAGAUGUUCCUAACCGGGCAAUUUUUGUGUCAGGACCGUGGAACGACACGCGCUCAACAGUCAGGACCGGGCGAUGACAGAGUUCUGGUACGAUCCUCUUGCGACGAGCCGCCUUCUGGCCGAUUUCCGAUGCUCAGGUCUCCCGCAUGUGCCGCGGGAGAUCGCUUUGGCGGUCUGGACCCGUAAGAGUCCUCUCA
rnacentral:rRNA from 1 species